rnacentral:sRNA from 1 species
UGCCAAAAAUUUGCUAACAGAUGUCGCCAU